GACGAACGCUGGCGGCGUGCUUAACACAUGCAAGUCGAACGGAAAGGCCCUGCUUUUGUGGGGUGCUCGAGUGGCGAACGGGUGAGUAACACGUGAGUAACCUGCCCUUGACUUUGGGAUAACUUCAGGAAACUGGGGCUAAUACCGGAUAGGAGCUCCUGCUGCAUGGUGGGGGUUGGAAAGUUUCGGCGGUUGGGGAUGGACUCGCGGCUUAUCAGCUUGUUGGUGGGGUAGUGGCUUACCAAGGCUUUGACGGGUAGCCGGCCUGAGAGGGUGACCGGCCACAUUGGGAUGAAGAUACGGCCCAGACUCCGAGGGGGGGAGGCGGUGGGGAAUAUUGCAGAAGGGGGGGAAGCCUGGUGCAGCACCGCCGGGUGGGGGAUGGCGGCCUUGGGGGUGUAAACCGUUUUCGCCUGAGGCGAAGGGUGAGUGACGGUAGUGGGUAAAGAAGCACCGGCAAACUAGG
rnacentral:rRNA from 1 species